GGCGAUGUGGCUCAAUGGUUUAAGUCGUGCUGUUGUCAGCCAUUGGGCGUGGGUUCGAAUCCCAACACCGUCA